GCUCCGCGUGGCGUGAAGUGGUCAUAAACCGACCCGGAGCCCCGCGGAGGCGCUCCGAGUCCCCCACACCCCGUGAACGUAUAGGAAGGUCCCGGUGAUGUGCAGGAACGGCCGCCCGCGCUGUGAGCGGGGAGAGCGCACGCCGGUGCAGCGCCGGGCUGCAGGCGGGGGGACAGCGGUGCGUGGCUGCAACAUGCCUGCGCCUCCCCGCAGCAACCGGAGCAGCCGUGCCAGCGUCCGCCAGCGCCGUAAUCAAACUUUUCUGUACAUUUUCACGUCACCUGGACGCCAAACAUAAAUUUGGCAUCCUAUGCAAAUAUAUGCUGACGUAAAAGAUCAUGUGGUUUUUGUCGUCGAUCCCCCCUAUGAGCAACGAGGAGGUUUUUUUUCUCCUCUCUACUGUUGUCUUUAGGUUAGCUAUGCUACAAUCUUUACUGUACCCAGCGCUAGCCAUAUGCGCCCCGCGCCGCACCACUCUGGAUUUCUGGGAAUAAUCAACUUCCAGGCUGUCGCACCCUGCGCUCACAGACUACACACAGAUUCCACAGGAGAUUACCCAGAGUGCCGCUGGCCUGAGGACCAUCCAGAAGGGACAGAGACGAGAGGGAGAACGAGGACGACGCACCGUGAUUGGACGAGGUGACUGGGCCCUUCCCCCCUCAAGUGAAGCCCCUCCCCUCUGAGGAAGUGCACUUGAGCGCCGCUGCUGUCUGUGAUGCCCUCCCAUGACGCCCAGGUUGGUAGCUGACACUGCCAGUGAGCGGGAGACGCCACUGCACAACCGGUCCUGGGCCAGCGCCGUCAGCCGGCUCUCGCCCUCCCUCUCGCAUGCUGGAGACUCCACCUCCACCCGCCUACCAGUACCCACAACCAUCAGCCCCGACUCCCCCCAGUAAGGUCCCGUCAAAAACCCACACACUGACAUCCUCAGCCAGCAGCAGCACCAGCAGCAGCAGCAGCCAAAAACCGCAGAAUCUUCAACGCAAUCAGCAGCACCAGCACCAGCACCACCAUUAUCACCACCGCCACCAGCAGCAGCCAUCAUGUCCAGUCGCAGAAAGUCCUCCACACCCUGCAUGGUUCGGGUCAUCAGCGACCUGCCUGAAGAGCAAGAUGACCCUGAGGAAGUAAUGGACAUGGAAACACUGGCAAGCAAUGAUGUGACAGAAAAAGAACGGUCAGACUCAUCUGGAUCUGCAGAAAAGAGUCAAGACGCUCGGCAGGAGGAUCCAGAGAAUCCAGACCAGCAGACGUUUCCAAAACCAGUGGAAAGCCAGAAUCCUGAGCCAUCAGAACAAGAGGAGCAAGCGGCUAAAGCAGACCAACCCCCUGUCAUUGAAGAUGCGGAAGCCAGAGAGGAGAAGGAUAGGGAAGAGGUUGAAUCUGACCCAGCGUCUCAGAAAAAGCAGCCCAGAGGCUACGAGUGCAAAUACUGUCCGUUUUCAACGCAGAACCUGAGUGACUUUAAAGAGCAUGUGGACUCCAGCCAUCCCAACGUCAUUCUCAACCCGCUGUACCUCUGUGCUGUCUGCAACUUCAACACCAAGAAGUUUGACUCACUCACAGAGCACAAUGAGAGCCAGCACCCGGGCGAGACAAACUUCAAGUUCAAGAGGAUAAAAAUGAACAAUCAGACUAUCUUAGAGCAGACAAUCGAAGGCAAGGACAAUUCAGUUGAAUGCGAAGUGACAAAUGAACAGGGUGAAGGCAACAGCAGUUCUGGGUUUCCACCAUGUGUAGCAACCACGGUGAAAACCCCAGACAGUAUCCAGUCGCUCUUCCAAGGGAGCGAGCUGAAAAGCCAGCUAGACGGCCUGAUCCAGAAGGAUCAAAUCACAGCAGUGAACAUCAAUGGAACAGUCAUCAUCCCUGAACCCACCAUCCUCCAAGGGCUCUCCCAUGUCACCCCUAUGCUCCAGCGCCCGCCCAACUUUAACUCUGUACCAAAAAUAGCUGUUCCCUUGAACACCACCAAAUAUAACCCUUCUUUAGAUGACAACUUGACGUUGAUCACCUCCUUUAACAAGUUUCCUUACCCAACACAUGCAGAGCUGUCAUGGCUGACAGCUGCCUCCAAGCACCCAGAGGAACAGAUCAAAGUCUGGUUCACCACCCAGCGGCUGAAGCAAGGCAUAACCUGGUCCCCAGAGGAGGUGGAAGAAGCCAGGAAAAAGAUGUUCAAUGGCUCCAUCCCUCCCGCUCACCAUACGUUCACCGUCCUGCCUACGAGCCCGGUCUCUCAGCCAUCUGCCAAAUCCUCCCAGCAGCCUCUUGUCCACACAACAGUAAGACAUCCAAGUCAUGUACGGACAACCUCGUCCAAUGGGUUAAGUGUAGUCGCCACCACAAACUCAAACACUGGACUUGCCAGUGGCUCCAGCCUUUCUCUUAAACGAACACACCCGACUACAGUGUUUGGCCCCGAGUCUAAGCGGCCCAUAAUGGCAGUUGCCCCCCAUUCUGGUGACCCUAAAGACAAGGUCCUCAUGGCUCCUCCUCCACCACCUCCUCCCCAGAAAGACCGUCUCCCAAUGGCUCCACCUCCUGUUCCCACAGAGAUGAAGAGACCUGUAGCAGUUCCCCUGGCCACUGCAGAGAUGAAGAGGUCAUCCGCUACUGUGCCUUUAAUGCCACCACCAUCAUCAUCUUCACCAUCGUCGUCGUCCAAAGGGAAGAUCCUCUCAACGUUAGGAAACCUGAAGACAAAGCCGGUGGUGUCGUUGCCCUCCAUAGUCUUUCCAGAGUCUUUAACAAGACCAAUGAUAGCUCCCCCACCAAUCUGUGCCCCACCAUUCAAAAACUCGUUUCUUAUUCCUCUGACUUCGACCAUCACCUCCAAAGAAAAGCACCUGAACACCCAUGCAAUGCCGGCAGCUGAUCUCAAGCUGCCAAAUUCCCCUCCACUUAUUACCCCGCAGAUAAGAAGGCCAACCAUCAUCCAGUCCAUUCGCGCUCCGGCCAAAGCCCCGUCACAGAUUCCAGGGUUUCCCUUGGACAGCAAGAAGCUAAAAGAGCAGCAAGGAGUGGACCUAAAAGCCAGCUACCCCAGAGGAGAGAAGGUACCCACUCCUCUGGCUGAGGCCAAUGGAACAUCUCGUACAGAUGGCAAAUGGCCCCACGAUCAGACCUCUCUUGCUCACAACAAUGGAGCCAUACAUUUGGAUGGUGGUGAGCUUCCAGCAGCGCCGAAAAUAGACAUUCAGCAAAAGUCCUCUGUGCUGACCCAAUUCCCUUUGCUGGAGAGGAUGAAAGGAAAGACAGCUGAACAGCUAAAGAUUUUAGAGGAGAACUUCUUGAGGAACAGUUUUCCAACACAAAGCGAUGUGGACAAUCUAGCAGGCACUACCCGCCUGUCUCCCCAGGAAAUCGACAGUUGGUUUGCGGAGCGCCGUGCACUACGGGACAACUUGGAACAAGCCCUUCUCAACUCCAUGGGCGCCAAGAGGAUGGGAGCUGGUGGCAACGCUGCCGUCAACAAGAAAGGACAACAUCAGCAGCAACAGCAACACCAAACUCUACAGCUGAAUGGGAUUCACAAGCCAAACACUGGCGUGGGCCACCUUAAAGGCCCUCUUCCACCCUCACCCAGCGUGCCCAUCAUUGCUCCUGGAGCCAUCGCCCCCUCUAUCGCCAACCCGAAUUCCUGCUCAGUGCCUCCAGACAGCCGAUCCCUGGCGCUCCUCAAGGACGAUUUUGCUCAAACGCGGUGGCCUUCCCCUGAGGAGUUCAGCCAGGUGGAGGGUCGGACGGGACUGGCUCGCACCGAACUCGCCCGCUGGUUCAAUGACAGCCGGUUGCAGAGCGGCAACAUGGACCUGACGGAACUUUUUUCCAACAAUGGAGUAAAUGGAGGGCAGGGGCCACCUGUGUGCUCUCCAGAAAACGCUCCCCCCAGCAUCAUUCGGCAUUGUCAGGAAGGAGCCCUAACAAACAACAACAACAACAGUAAGGUGUUGGAGGUUGAGCUGGGCUGGCUAAUGGAGCAGCGGGCUAACAGCCUCAGCAUUCAACAGCACGAUGAGCUCCAAGACCGGUUUGCUGGCAGAUUGAGGCAGCAGAACGCCGCCGAGCUGAAGAACGGAGGACAGAACGGCGGAGUCGCGGGGGGAGUGCGGGACGUGUUCGGGAGCUGGCUGCAGGACGGACACUCGAGGAGAGGACGGGAGCUGCUCCUGGACAGGGACAGGAAGAUGGCGGAGGACGCGUCUGGGAGGCUGACUGGAUAAACGGUGCGAAUAGGAUUUGUCGCCGCCGCUGCUGCUGGAAACCUACAGGAGGAAAGAGAAGGAGGUGGAAGGAGAACGGAGCAACAAAAGAAGAGUUUUAUAAUCAUCAGAUUUUUUUUCAUUUUAUUUUUUAACAAUUUUUUUUUAUCUCUUGAUUGUCGCAUCCCAGAUCACACACAACAUCGUCCUCCGUCCAGUCGCAGGUAAUCCCGUCAGUGUCUCGACCUGAAGUGACCCCCUCCACAGAUGUGGCAACAGAGAGAUAAAUAAGACAAAGUGAAAUCAGAGGAGUGGAAGGUUAAAUUCAGAUUUCAGUGAUCUGUGAAGAUCAUUGAAAUCCUUUACAGUGAAGCUCAUGUCUCGUCUCUUCUCUUUUCUCACAGCAAUGCAAGUGUUCGCCUGCAGGUACAUGCAGGUGAAGGUUUCCGAAUGCUGUCAUUUGAUCAAACGUGCGAGAGCUCAACACACUGAAGCUUCCUUUUAAGGUGGAAUUAUAUACUGACCGAGAGUCCCGUUCAAGCACAAGGCCUGAACCCUCCCAGGAAGUCACAGUUGAAAAAGCUGCCAGCCAAUCAGAGGGGCAGCUUUUAAGGUGCUGCCCCUUUAACAGCCGCCCCUUUAAGUUUGUCAGUGGUCAGUAUGAGUGGCUGAUGAUCCUCUUCAGCAGGGGGGACGUUUAAAAGUUUGUUUGUGGGCCUUUUUGUUGUCAGUAUUCAGUUAGAAACGUUAGAAAACUUUUCCUCAAGUUUGUUGAAGGAACAUUUUGAUUCUCUGAGAUUCAGCUGCUUUCUUCUGUUUCUGAUGCAUCUGAGCAUCAAAAGUGGAAUCUUUUAAAUGAAUUUCUUUUUUGUUAAUUUUCCAAUGGGAAUAUGUGAAAUAAUCAAGAAUUAGUGAAAAUGAAUGAAACUGGGACACAGCGGUGGUUAGUAAUCAGCAGAAGGGCAGGCUGCGUGAAAGGCUCAAAUAAUUAAUUCCUCAAAUUAAACCAUCUUUUAAUAGUUUCUGUGUGGUCAGAGGUUAAACAGGACAGCCGAACGCUUUCAGCCCGCAGCCAAGUUGCAUUUUUAAAUGUUAUUAUCUUCUUCUGCAAUGGUUUUAAGGCAGCGACUGGAGAAUUAGCUCCACCUGCUGGUUAUCCUCAUCAGCCAAUCAACUCCUAAGAGUAGCAGAUGAAAAGUUGGUUAAAAUUUGUGCUACAUGUGGUAUGAAAGCCAACCUGAAAGUCUCAAGCCCCUCACAGAAGUCCUUCAAACCUUCCCUUUACUGAAGCGUUUUCUAAACGUUCCCCUCAGAAGGAAGCUCGGCUUGCUUUUAUCAACCCUCUGAACCUCAACGAUCGUCUAAACGCUGUGAACUCUCCCUUUAGGAGAACUCAGCCUCAUAGUGAGCACUUCACUGUAAACCCCAGAAGAAGAAACCCCGAGUUUCUCCUUUAAGUUGCCGCGGAGGAAGCGGCGUCCGUCUCGUGAGAGGGGGGAUUAGCAGGUCGUGAACUCCAUGGGACGGAUGUUUGUUGCUGAGGUGAUGUUGUGGGUGACCUGCGUUGCCGUGGAGACGGUGAACCGGAGCACUGAAUGUGUGCCUGCAGCAGCAGUCUGACUGUACACAGCGACCGACCGACCGACAGACGAAGAGACAGACAGACAGGGUGGAUUUAAAACAAA